rnacentral:rRNA from 1 species
GAUGAACGCUGGCGGCGUGCCUAAUACAUGCAAGUCGAGCGAACAGACGAGGAGCUUGCUCCUCUGACGUUAGCGGCGGACGGGUGAUUAACCCGUGGAUAACCUACCUUUAAGACUGGGAUAACUUCGGGAAACCGGAGCUAAUACCGGAUAAUAUAUUAAACCGCAUGGUUCAUUAGUGAAAGUCGGUUUUGCUGUCACUUAUAGAUGGAUCCGCGCCGCAUUAGCUAGUUGGUAAGGUAACGGCUUACCAAGGCAACGAUGCGUAGCCGACCUGAGAGGGUGAUCGGCCACACUGGAACUGAGACACGGUCCAGACUCCUACGGGAGGCAGCAGUAGGGAAUCUUCCGCAAUGGGCGAAAGCCUGACGGAGCAACGCCGCGUGAGUGAUGAAGGUCUUCGGAUCGUAAAACUCUGUUAUUAGGGAAGAACAAAUGUGUAAGUAACUAUGCACGUCUUGACGGUACCUAAUCAGAAAGCCACGGCUAACUACGUG